CCUAGCUCCCUGAGGUGAGGGCAGUUUGUGAUCAGCCAGCAGAGAAGAAACACCUUUCUGCUGAGCUCUGCCAGGAACACCUUGGAGGUUCCUGGUGGGUCCAAUCCAGUUGGGAGACAUCAGGAGUCCACGGCUCUACUUCAGCGCAGCAUUCUCCCUGGCUGCAGCUCCACGCCCGCUGCUCCUCCAGCUCAGUGUGGCUUCAUGCUGGCUCCACUCAUCUUUCCCCACCAGGUCACAGUUUGAUAAACACUAUAAUGGACAAGCAAGCUGAAUGAAGUCAGAGCACAGCAUGAGGCAACAUGCAAUAUACUGCUCAAAGCUUCAAACCUGGACCACUACUGACCUGCCAACAUUUGAAUGCAAUCAAUCUGGAAAUUGCUGGAAAUUGGAAAUCAUCUGGAAAUAAAAACUGGGACGUAUUUUUUAACAUCACUGAAAAACAGUGAAUUGUAAAAGUUUCAUAUAGGGCAGACUGGAUAAAUUAUCAACACUUUGCUGAAGAAUAUCAACAGGGAAAACUAGGGUCUCAGCAUGUAAUAAUGACACAACUAGACUUACUGGAUUGCCUUUGUUGCCACCACAUUUCUGUUUAUUUGUUCAGAUUUAAAGGAAACCAUUAUCAAGAUUGCUGGGCACAAAGCUGAAAAUGCCCCAAUAAAAAUACUUAUAAAAACAUG